rnacentral:rRNA from 1 species
GGUUAAGCGACUAAGCGUACACGGUGGAUGCCCUGGCAGUCAGAGGCGAUGAAGGACGUGCUAAUCUGCGAUAAGCGUCGGUAAGGUGAUAUGAACCGUUAUAACCGGCGAUUUCCGAAUGGGGAAACCCAGUGUGAUUCGUCACACUAUCAUUAACUGAAUCCAUAGGUUAAUGAGGCGAACCGGGGAACUGAAACAUCUAAGUACCCCGAGGAAAAGAAAUCAACCGAGAUUCCCCCAGUAGCGGCGAGCGAACGGGGAGCAGCCCAGAGCCUGAAUCAGUGUGUGUGUUAGUGGAAGCGUCUGGAAAGGCGCGCGAUACAGGGUGACAGCCCCGUACACAAAAAUGCACAUGCUGUGAGCUCGAUGAGUAGGGCGGGACACGUGGUAUCCUGUCUGAAUAUGGGGGGACCAUCCUCCAAGGCUAAAUACUCCUGACUGACCGAUAGUGAACCAGUACCGUGAGGGAAAGGCGAAAAGAACCCCGGCGAGGGGAGUGAAAAAGAACCUGAAACCGUGUACGUACAAGCAGUGGGAGCCUCUUUUAUGGGGUGACUGCGUACCUUUUGUAUAAUGGGUCAGCGACUUAUAUUCUGUAGCAAGGUUAACCGAAUAGGGGAGCCGAAGGGAAACCGAGUCUUAACUAGGCGUUAAGUUGCAGGGUAUAGACCCGAAACCCGGUGAUCUAGCCAUGGGCAGGUUGAAGGUUGGGUAACACUAACUGGAGGACCGAACCGACUAAUGUUGAAAAAUUAGCGGAUGACUUGUGGCUGGGGGUGAAAGGCCAAUCAAACCGGGAGAUAGCUGGUUCUCCCCGAAAGCUAUUUAGGUAGCGCCUCGUGAACUCAUCUCCGGGGGUAGAGCACUGUUUCGGCAAGGGGUCAUCCCGACUUACCAACCCGAUGCAAACUGCGAAUACCGGAGAAUGUUAUCACGGGAGACACACGGCGGGUGCUAACGUCCGUCGUGAAGAGGGAAACAACCCAGACCGCCAGCUAAGGUCCCAAAGUCAUGGUUAAGUGGGAAACGAUGUGGGAAGGCCCAGACAGCCAGGAUGUUGGCUUAGAAGCAGCCAUCAUUUAAAGAAAGCGUAAUAGCUCACUGGUCGAGUCGGCCUGCGCGGAAGAUGUAACGGGGCUAAACCAUGCACCGAAGCUGCGGCAGCGACGCUUAUGCGUUGUUGGGUAGGGGAGCGUUCUGUAAGCCUGCGAAGGUGUACUGUGAGGUAUGCUGGAGGUAUCAGAAGUGCGAAUGCUGACAUAAGUAACGAUAAAGCGGGUGAAAAGCCCGCUCGCCGGAAGACCAAGGGUUCCUGUCCAACGUUAAUCGGGGCAGGGUGAGUCGACCCCUAAGGCGAGGCCGAAAGGCGUAGUCGAUGGGAAACAGGUUAAUAUUCCUGUACUUGGUGUUACUGCGAAGGGGGACGGAGAAGGCUAUGUUGGCCGGGCGACGGUUGUCCCGGUUUAAGCGUGUAGGCUGGUUUUCCAGGCAAAUCCGGAAAAUCAAGGCUGAGGCGUGAUGACGAGGCACUACGGUGCUGAAGCAACAAAUGCCCUGCUUCCAGGAAAAGCCUCUAAGCAUCAGGUAACAUCAAAUCGUACCCCAAACCGACACAGGUGGUCAGGUAGAGAAUACCAAGGCGCUUGAGAGAACUCGGGUGAAGGAACUAGGCAAAAUGGUGCCGUAACUUCGGGAGAAGGCACGCUGAUAUGUAGGUGAAGCGACUUGCUCGUGGAGCUGAAAUCAGUCGAAGAUACCAGCUGGCUGCAACUGUUUAUUAAAAACACAGCACUGUGCAAACACGAAAGUGGACGUAUACGGUGUGACGCCUGCCCGGUGCCGGAAGGUUAAUUGAUGGGGUUAGCGGUAACGCGAAGCUCUUGAUCGAAGCCCCGGUAAACGGCGGCCGUAACUAUAACGGUCCUAAGGUAGCGAAAUUCCUUGUCGGGUAAGUUCCGACCUGCACGAAUGGCGUAAUGAUGGCCAGGCUGUCUCCACCCGAGACUCAGUGAAAUUGAACUCGCUGUGAAGAUGCAGUGUACCCGCGGCAAGACGGAAAGACCCCGUGAACCUUUACUAUAGCUUGACACUGAACAUUGAGCCUUGAUGUGUAGGAUAGGUGGGAGGCUUUGAAGUGUGGACGCCAGUCUGCAUGGAGCCGACCUUGAAAUACCACCCUUUAAUGUUUGAUGUUCUAACGUUGGCCCCUGAUCGGGGUUGCGGACAGUGUCUGGUGGGUAGUUUGACUGGGGCGGUCUCCUCCUAAAGAGUAACGGAGGAGCACGAAGGUUGGCUAAUCCUGGUCGGACAUCAGGAGGUUAGUGCAAUGGCAUAAGCCAGCUUGACUGCGAGCGUGACGGCGCGAGCAGGUGCGAAAGCAGGUCAUAGUGAUCCGGUGGUUCUGAAUGGAAGGGCCAUCGCUCAACGGAUAAAAGGUACUCCGGGGAUAACAGGCUGAUACCGCCCAAGAGUUCAUAUCGACGGCGGUGUUUGGCACCUCGAUGUCGGCUCAUCACAUCCUGGGGCUGAAGUAGGUCCCAAGGGUAUGGCUGUUCGCCAUUUAAAGUGGUACGCGAGCUGGGUUUAGAACGUCGUGAGACAGUUCGGUCCCUAUCUCGCCGUGGGCGCUGGAGAACUGAGGGGGCUGCUCCUAGUACGAGAGGACCGGAGUGGACGCAUCACUGGUGUUCGGGUUGUCAUGCCAAUGGCACUGCCCGGUAGCUAAAUGCGGAAGAGAUAAGUGCUGAAAGCAUCUAAGCACGAAACUUGCCCCGAGAUGAGUUCUCCCUGACCCUUUAAGGGUCCUGAAGGAACGUUGAAGACGACGACGUUGAUAGGCCGGGUGUGUAAGCGCAGCGAUGCGUUGAGCUAACCGGUACUAAUGAACCGUGAGGCUUAACCUU